GUUAGUGGCGGACGGGUGAGUAACGCGUGGGCAACCUGCCCUUCAGAGGGGGAUAACACUAAGAAAUUGGUGCUAAUACCGCAUAAGAUUGUAGAGUCACCUGACUUAGCAAUCAAAGGAGAAAUCCGCUGAAGGAUGGGCCCGCGUCUGAUUAGAUAGUUGGAGAGGUAAUGGCUCACCAAGUCUACGAUCAGUAGCCGAUCUGAGAGGAUGAACGGCCACACUGGAACUGAGAUACGGUCCAGACUCCUACGGGAGGCAGCAGUGGGGAAUAUUGCGCAAUGGGGGAAACCCUGACGCAGCAACGCCGCGUGGAGGAAGAAGGCUUUCGGGUUGUAAACUCCUGUCGUUGGGGAAGAAAAAAAUGACGGUACCCAAUAAGAAAGCCACGGCUAACUACGUGCCAGCAGCCGCGGUAAUACGUAGGUGGCGAGCGUUGUCCGGAAUUAUUGGGUUUAAAGGGUCCGUAGGCGG
rnacentral:rRNA from 1 species